GACCCCUAGGAGCUUGUCAUGUGGUUAAAUCAAGAUUUCACUUGCACGUUCACUCAUACAUGCUACUUCUACUCCGGAAGUACCAUCCACAUAUAUCCAUCCAUUUCCAUCUCUAGAACCACCAAAAAAAUAUUCUACUCCUAAUCCGGGAGAGAAUAACCAAAAAUAUUUCUGUUUUUCCCUUGUGAAAUAAAUGCUCAAGUUAUCUUGUUACUACCACUUGCUAUAUUAUCUCAAGAGAUGAGUGCUCUAAAAAAAAGAGAGAUACGAGGAAAUAAAAAGGAGCAAGUGCUCGGAACCUG
rnacentral:lncRNA from 1 species